rnacentral:rRNA from 1 species
ACGCUCGACACCUACGGGGGCAGCAGUGAGGAAUAUUGGUCAAUGGGCGCUAGCCUGAACCAGCCAAGUAGCGUGAAGGAUGAAGGCUCUAUGGGUCGUAAACUUCUUUUAUAUAAGAAUAAAGUGCAGUAUGUAUACUGUUUUGUAUGUAUUAUAUGAAUAAGGAUCGGCUAACUCCGUGCCAGCAGCAGCGGUAAUCUGAGCGGGCUGGCAAGGC